UAGGGAAUCUUCGGCAAUGGACGAAAGUCUGACCGAGCAACGCCGCGUGAGUGAAGAAGGUUUUCGGAUCGUAAAACUCUGUUGUUAGAGAAGAACAAGGACGUUAGUAACUGAACGUCCCCUGACGGUAUCUAACCAGAAAGCCACGGCUAACUACGUGCCAGCAGCCGCGGUAAUACGUAGGUGGCAAGCGUUGUCCGGAUUUAUUGGGCGUAAAGCGAGCGCAGGCGGUUUCUUAAGUCUGAUGUGAAAGCCCCCGGCUCAACCGGGGAGGGUCAUUGGAAACUGGGAGACUUGAGUGCAGAAGAGGAGAGUGGAAUUCCAGGUGUAGCGGUGAACUGCGUAGAUAUAUGGAGGAACACCAGUGGCGAAGGCGGCUCUCUGGUCUGUAACUGACGCUGAGGCUCGAAAGCGUGGGGAGCAAACAGG
rnacentral:rRNA from 1 species